UACGAAGGGGGCAAGCGUUAAUCGGAAUUACUGGGCGUAAAGGGUGCGUAGGCGGUUCGUUAAGUCUGUCGUGAAAUCCCCGGGCUCAACCUGGGAAUGGCGAUGGAUACUGGCGAGCUAGAGUGUGUCAGAGGAUGGUGGAAUUCCCGGUGUAGCGGUGAAAUGCGUAGAGAUCGGGAGGAACAUCAGUGGCGAAGGCGGCCAUCUGGGACAACACUGACGCUGAAGCACGAAAGCGUGGGGAGCAAACAGG
rnacentral:rRNA from 1 species